rnacentral:rRNA from 1 species
UACGGGGGGGGCAAGCGUUGUUCGGAAUUACUGGGCGUAAAGGGCUCGUAGGCGGCCAACUAAGUCAGACGUGAAAUCCCUCGGCUUAACCGGGGAACUGCGUCUGAUACUGGAUGGCUCGAGUUUGGGAGAGGGAUGCGGAAUUCCAGGUGUAGCGGUGAAAUGCGUAGAUAUCGGGAGGAACACCUGUGGCGAAAGCGGCGCACUGGACCAUAACUGACGCUGAUGCGCGAAAGCUAGGGGAGCAAACAGG